rnacentral:rRNA from 1 species
GUGAGGAAUUUUCCGCAAUGGGCGAAAGCCUGACGGAGCAAUGCCGCGUGAAGGAUGAAGGCCUAUGGGUUGUAAACUUCUUUUCUCAGAAAAGAAUUAUGACGGUAUCUGAGGAAUAAGCAUCGGCUAACUCUGUGCCAGCAGCCGCGUAAGACAGAGGAUGGAAGCGUUAACCGGAAUGAUUGGGCGUAAAGCGUCUGUAGGUUGUUUAAAAAGGAUUCUGUGAAAGAUUAGGGCUUAACCCUAGAUAGGCAGAAUAAACUUUUAAGCUAGAGUUUGGUAGAGGCAGAGGGAAUUCCCGGUGGAGCGGUGAAAUGCGUAGAUAUCGGGAGGAACACCAAAGGCGAAGGCACUCUGCUGGGCCAAUACUAACACUGAGAGACGAAAGCGAGGGGAGCAAAUGGGAUUAGAAACCCCGGUAGUCC